ensembl:lncRNA
AGGGCCUUAGUGGCCGUUUUGCCCCGACACGGUGCUCCUACCACCUAGACCUCUUGAGCCUCGCAGAGGACGCUGGGAGUCUAGCCCUGGGGGCACCACAGCCUCAUGGGAGCGGUAGUUUUUAUACCGAAGCUCACGAGUGGCUCCUCCCUCCACGCUCAGCCUUCCUUCACUUUAUGGUCUGGCUCACUUUUUGCUUUGAGUCAGACGCACAGAAAGUAAUACAAAACCUUCUAAGAGACUGGAAAUUACAGAGUUGAUGACAGGAGAAACCGAUUCUCUCUGAAGAUGAAAUAUUGACUCCCUAAUUAGCUCAGGCUCUGGCCCAGAGGACUGUGCAUGGCUGUAUUUAACUGCCUGGAAAGUGGCUCUGAAAAGAUGCUGGCUCAGCAAGAGGAGUUUUGCUCUGCUACCUCACAAAGCAAGUCUAUGCCAUCAAGAAAUAAACAUAAAUUUUUUUGUUUUAUUGCUUUAUUUUAUUGUGAUGAUUAUAAGGCUUAUAAUUUUAAGAUUUUAAAUAAAUUUUCUGUAUGAAUAGCAUUACAAUAAAGUUCACUUCUACUGUCACAUACUUUUGACCUAAGUAAGUGUUAGUCGCUCAGUCAUGCCCAACUCUUUGUGACCCCAUGGACUACAGCCCACCAGGCUCCUCUGUCCAUGAGAUUUUCCAGGCAAGGAUACUGGAGUGGGCUGCCAUUUCCUUCUCCAGGGGAUGUUCCCAACCCAGGGAUCGAACCCGGGUCUCCUGCACUGCAGGCAGAUUCUUUACCAACUGAGCUACAAGGGAAGCCCUAGUUUUGGCCUAGAUAGUGUCAUUUUAAUGCUAAUAAUAAUAAUUUAAAAUUAUUUAUUAAAAUAAAGAAAUUUUGAAAUAGUUUCAGUUACCAGUUGCACAUAGUUCUUCCUCAGUAUCCAUGGAGGAUUGGUUCCAGGAUACCCUAUGGGCUUCCUUGGUGGCUCAGACAGUAAAGCGUCUGUCUGCAAUGCAGGAGACCUGGGUUUGAUCCCUUGGUUGGGAAGAUCCCCUGGAGAAGGAAAUGGCAGCCCACUCCAAUAUUCUUGCCUGGAAAAUCCCAUGGAAGGCGGAGCCUGGUAGGCUACUGUCCAUGGGGUCGCAAAGAGUCGGACACGACUGAGCUUCUUCACUUCACUUCAAGUUCUUUGUAUAAAAUGGUGUAUUGUUUGUAUAUAACUUACAAACAUCCUCCCAUGUUCUUUAAAUUAUCUGUAGAUUACUUAUAAUACCUGAUGUCAUGUAAAUGCUAUGUCAGUACUUGCCAUUGUCUGGCAAAUUUAAGUUUUGCUCUGCUACCUCACAAAGCAAGUCUAUGCCAUCAAGAAAUAAACAUAAAUUUUUUGUUUUAUUGCUUUAUUUUAUUGUGAUGAUUAUAAGGCUUAUAAUUUUAAGAUUUUAAAUAAAUUUUCUGUAUGAAUAGCAUUACAAUAAAGUUCACUUCUACUGUCACAUACUUUUGACCUAAGUAAGUGUUAGUCGCUCAGUCAUGCCCAACUCUUUGUGACCCCAUGGACUACAGCCCACCAGGCUCCUCUGUCCAUGAGAUUUUCCAGGCAAGGAUACUGGAGUGGGCUGCCAUUUCCUUCUCCAGGGGAUGUUCCCAACCCAGGGAUCGAACCCGGGUCUCCUGCACUGCAGGCAGAUUCUUUACCAACUGAGCUACAAGGGAAGCCCUAGUUUUGGCCUAGAUAGUGUCAUUUUAAUGCUAAUAAUAAUAAUUUAAAAUUAUUUAUUAAAAUAAAGAAAUUUUGAAAUAGUUUCAGUUACCAGUUGCACAUAGUUCUUCCUCAGUAUCCAUGGAGGAUUGGUUCCAGGAUACCCUAUGGG